CGGGGUGUGGUUUAACGGUAGAAUGCACGGCUGGGGGCCGUGCGGUCAGAGUUCAAUUCUCUGCACCCCGA
rnacentral:tRNA from 1 species